rnacentral:tRNA from 1 species
GCAGCUGUAGCUCACCCGGUUAGAGCGUCGGUUUGUGGUACCGAAGGUAGUCGGUUCGAGUCCGAUCAGUUGCC